UGGAUUGUGAUGCAGAUAGUGAUAGUGAGGCCGAUAUCAUAUGGUUAGGAAAAUAAAGAUCGUCUGAAUUACAUGGCGAAGAUCAAUAAUUACGAAUUUGACUAUAGAUUUCUGAGCAAAGGUGUUGUGAAUGAAUUGAUUAAUUUAAUGAGACCAUAUUUGAGUGUAACGUCAAAAAGAUUCAAAUAUAGGAGAGGAAUUUAGAAAUAGAAAAAGAGUAUUUUGAAUGUGUAAUUUGUGUGCAAUGCAUCAUUGAUGUUUCAAAAUGUUGUUGCUUGAUGGCCUGGGUCUGCUCAUGAUACAACUAUAAUUAACCAUUCCGAUUGAAAAGAUGCAUUGGUGUUUGUAAAAGAAGACUCCCUGUAUAUCAUUGAAAAGUAGAUUAAAACUAGAAAAUAUGCAAGCUGUUAUUAUAGCUGCCAUGCUGCAUAAUAUCGUCAGAAGUAUGAAUUUAGAAGAAUUAGAAUCAGAAAUUUCAGUCGCAGAUACAUUACAGGAAAAUAAUAUAAUUGUUCGUAACAAUUUUUCAAAACUUACAUCUGAAAUACAACUAUGUACUUAUAAAUAAUUGCUUCCAAAGAUAAUUUAUAAAAUAAACUCCAAAGAUAA